GCCUCUGCAGCUCAGUUGGUUAGAGCGCUGCACCGGAAUCGCAGGGCCGUGGGUUCAAUUCCAACCAGAGGAC
rnacentral:tRNA from 1 species